UAGUCCACGCCGUAAACGAUGGUCACUAGCUGUGUGGAUUUCGGUCUGCGUGGCUAAGCGAAAGUGAUAAGUGACCCACCUGGGGAGUACGUUCGCAAGAAUGAAACUCAAAGGAAUUGACGGGGGGCCCGCACAAGCGGUGGAGCAUGUGGUUUAAUUCGAUGAUACGCGAGGAACCUUACCUGGGCUCAAACGCAUGAUGACAGGGUGGGAAACCACUUUUUCUUCGGACAUUAUGCGAGGUGCUGCAUGGUUGUCGUCAGCUCGUGCCGUGAGGUGUCGGGUUAAGUCCCACAACGAGCGCAACCCCUAUCUUUAGUUGCCAGCGAGUAAUGUCGGGGACUCUAGAGAAACUGCCUACGUAAGUAGAGAGGAAGGCGGGGAUGACGUCAAAUCAUCACGGCCCUUACGUCCAGGGGCUACACACGUGCUACAAUGGCGAGAACAGAGGGAUGCUACCUGGUGACAGGAUGCGGAUC
rnacentral:rRNA from 1 species